AGAACGAACGCUGGCGGCAUGCCUAAUACAUGCAAGUCGAACGAGCACUUCGGUGUUAGUGGCGCACGGGUGCGUAACGCGUGGGAAUCUGCCCUUGGGUUCGGAAUAACAGUUGGAAACGACUGCUAAUACCGGAUGAUGACGAAAGUCCAAAGACUUAUCGCCCAGGGAUGAGCCCGCGUAGGAUUAGCUAGUUGGUGAGGUAAAGGCUCACCAAGGCGACGAUCCUUAGCUGGUCUGAGAGGAUGAUCAGCCACACGUGGACUGAGACACGGCCCAGACUCCUACGGGAGGCAGCA
rnacentral:rRNA from 1 species